rnacentral:rRNA from 1 species
GAUGAACGCUAGCGGCAGGCUUAACACAUGCAAGUCGAGGGGCAGCACGUCUUCGGAUGGUGGCGACCGGCGCACGGGUGCGUAACGCGUAUACAAUCUACCUUGUAGAGGGGGAUAGUCCGGGAAACCCGGAUUAAUACCCCAUAGUAUUAUAGAAUAGCAUUAUUUUAUAAUUAAACAUUUAUGGCUACAAGAUGAGUAUGCGUCCUAUUAGUUAGUUGGUGAGGUAACGGCUCACCAAGGCAGCGAUAGGUAGGGGUCCUGAGAGGGAGAUCCCCCACACUGGUACUGAGACACGGACCAGACUCCUACGGGAGGCAGCAGUGAGGAAUAUUGGACAAUGGGCGAGAGCCUGAUCCAGCCAUGCCGCGUGCAGGAAGACGGCCCUAUGGGUUGUAAACUGCUUUUAUACGGGAAGAAACACCCCUUCGUGAAGGGGCUUGACGGUACCGUAAGAAUAAGGAUCGGCUAACUCCGUGCCAGCAGCCGCGGUAAUACGGAGGAUCC